AUGAAUAAAAUCUUCAAAAAAAGGGGGGGGGAGGAGGAGAAGGCAGGUGCAGAGCCCAGUGGGGACGGAGUACCCCUCCCUUUGAAGUGGAGAUUCUAUCCACUUCUAUUCCCAAGAGGGAAGUGGAGAUUCUCUCUUCCGGAUCAUGGGGCUCUAUUUUCCUGUCUCUAUCCUCCACGAGCCACCUGGGAGCCCAGAGAGGUCCAGCCCCGGCCCCGGGGGACCCACAGGAAGUUGGUAGCUGAGCCAGGACUGGCACGAGUGCCCCUUCCAGCUCUGCCCUCUCUCCCGGGGCCCCCGUGUCUGGCCCACAGUGGGGAGGAGCCGCUGGUUGUGGACCCUAUUAUAGUGCAUCAGAAGAUUAACAAAUGUUUGCCAUCACGACAUAAACGGGGCAAAAAUAAAAGCUUCGUAACCUCUGCGGUGUUGACAGUCGGAUACGCAUCCUUCAACGUUAUGCUGACACAAGUAACCACACACACACACACACACACCGUGACUUUCCUCCCUUUCUUCUUUUAUAUAAAAACGGAUCGGGGCACCUGGAGGGCUAGGUUGGUUAAGCGUCUGCCUUCAGCUCAGGUCAUGAUCUCAGGGUCCUGGGAUCGAGCCCCGCAUCGGGAUCCACACUCAGCACGGCAUCUGCUUGGAAUUCUCUCCCUCUGCUCCUCCCCCGCUCACAUGCCCCCCCCCUCUCAAAUAAAUUUUAAAAAAUGUAUACAUGUGAGACGCCUGGGUGGCUCAGUGGGUUAAGCGGC
rnacentral:lncRNA from 1 species